rnacentral:rRNA from 1 species
AUUGAACGCUGGCGGCAUGCUUUACACAUGCAAGUCGAACGGCAGCGCGGGCUUCGGCCUGGCGGCGAGUGGCGAACGGGUGAGUAAUACAUCGGAACGUGCCCAGUAGUGGGGGAUAGCUCGGCGAAAGCCGGAUUAAUACCGCAUACGACCUGAGGGUGAAAGCGGGGGAUCUUCGGACCUCGCGCUAUUGGAGCGGCCGAUGGCAGAUUAGCUAGUUGGUGGGGUAAAGGCCUACCAAGGCGACGAUCUGUAGCUGGUCUGAGAGGACAACCAGCCACACUGGAACUGAGACACGGCCCAGACUCCUACGGGAGGCAGCAGUGGGGAAUUUUGGACAAUGGGCGAAAGCCUGAUCCAGCAAUGCCGCGUGUGUGAUGAAGGCCUUCGGGUUGUAAAGCACUUUUGGCGGGAACGAAAAGGACUGUGCCAAUACCACGGUUCGAUGACGGUACCCGCAGAAUAAGCACCGGCUAACCACGUG